CGCGGCCAGGCUUGCGGAGCCCGCCUCCCCGCCCUUCAGACCCCGCGGCCCGGCCGCGCAGCCUCGGAGCCCGCGGCGCAGGAGGGGAGGGCGGUGCGGAUCGGGUCCGGCCGCCGCGCCCGCUUCAGCUCCUUCCGCUGUCCGCCGCUGCGGUCGCCUCGUCCUGCAGGUGCUGACUAUUCUGAAGCCAGUUUCCAAUUGCCUUGAUUAAAGUAGAAACAUUCUAUGGCUUGGAUGACUUACAUUUCACAUUGGUUUGAGCAAGAUGAUUGGUAUGAAGGACUUCAAAGAGCAAACAUGUCCCAGGUAAGACAAGUGGGACUGCUGGCUGCUGGAUGUCAGCCAUGGAACAAAGAUGUGUGCGUUGCCAAUGGAGACAGGUUUGCGUACUGUGCUACCCUGGCCAUCUAUAUUUAUCAGUUGGAUCACCGUUAUAAUGAAUUCAAACUUCACGCAAUUAUGUCUGAACAUAAAAAAACAAUCACAGCUAUCUCUUGGUGUCCACAUAACCCUGAUCUGUUUGCAAGUGGCAGUACCGAUAAUUUAGUGAUCAUUUGGAAUGUUGCAGAACAAAAAGUCAUUGCUAAACUCGACAAUACAAAAGGGACGCCUGCCUCUCUCAGCUGGUGCUGGAAUGGAGAUGACACAGUGGCGUUUGCUUCCCAGAGAGGCCCACUGUUCAUCUGGACCAUCUCAGGACCAGACAGUGGCGUGACUGUGCACAAAGAAGCCCAUAGCUUCCUGUCUGAUAUCUGUAUAUUCAGAUGGCAUACCCAAAAAAAGGGGAAAGUUGUCUUUGGUCAUAUUGAUGGAAGUCUAUCAAUUUUUCAACCAGGUAACAAAAGUCAGAAACAUGUUCUGAGACCGGAAUCUCUUGAAGGGACCGACGAAGAGGAUCCCGUUACAGCCCUGGAAUGGGACCCACUGUCUACUGAUUACCUCCUAGUGGCUAAUUUGCAUCGUGGAAUUCGCCUCGUAGAUUCGGAAUCACUUUGUUGCAUAACAACAUUUAAUUUUCCCAGUACAGUAGCUUCUGUGCAAUGCUUGGCCUGGGUUCCCGGUGCUCCUGGCAUGUUUAUAACUGGAGAUUCUCAAGUGGGUGUUUUGCGCGUUUGGAAUGUUUCCAGAGCAACACCUGUUGAAAACUUUAAGUUAAAGAAAACAGGGUUUCACUGCUUACAUGUACUGAAUUCUCCUCCAAGGAAGAAAUUUUCAAUCCAGUCCCCAACCAAAAAUCAUUAUACAUCCUCAACGAGUGAAGCAGUACCACCCCCAACUCUGACACAGAAUCAAGCAUUUUCUGUUCCUCCUGGUCACGCAGUGUGCUGUUUCCUGGAUGGUGGAGUUGGACUUUAUGAUAUGGGAGCUAAGAAGUGGGAUUUUCUUAGGGACUUGGGUCAUGUGGAAACGAUCUUCGACUGCAAAUUCAAACCUGACGAUCCCAGUCUUCUAGCAACAGCUUCAUUUGACGGCACGAUAAAAGUCUGGGAUAUAAACACACUGACGGCAGUGUACGCUUCCCCAGGGAAUGAAGGGGUUAUUUAUUCCCUUUCGUGGGCUCCAGGUGAUUUAAAUUGUAUUGCUGGAGCAACUUCUCGAAAUGGUGCUUUUAUUUGGGAUAUUAAAAAGGGCAAAAUCGUACAACGAUUUAAUGAGCAUGGAAAAAAUGGAAUAUUCUGCAUUGCCUGGAGUCAUAAAGAUUCCAAACGAAUAGCAACCUGCAGUGGUGAUGGUUACUGUAUUAUUCGAACAGUUGAUGGUAAAGUACUACACAAAUACAAACAUCCAGCUGCAGUGUUUGGUUGUGAUUGGAGCCAAAACAACAGAGACAUGAUAGCCACCGGCUGUGAAGAUAAAAAUGUUCGUGUCUAUUAUGUGACCACCAGUUCCGACCAACCACUGAAAGUGUUUAGUGGGCAUACAGAGAAAGUGUUCCAUGUUAGGUGGUCUCCUCUGAGGGAGGGAAUUCUUUGCAGCGGCUCUGAUGAUGGUUCUGUUCGAAUCUGGGAUUAUACUCAAGACGCAUGCAUAAACAUUCUUAGAGGACACACGGCACCUGUGCGGGGAUUAAUGUGGAAUACUGAGAUCCCAUACCUACUAAUAUCUGGCAGCUGGGACUACACUAUAAAAGCGUGGGACACUCGGGAAGGAACUUGUUUGGAUACCGUGUACGAUCAUGGUGCAGAUGUAUACGGUUUAACAUGCCACCCACGUCGCCCCUUCACUAUGGCCUCGUGCUCCCGGGACUCUACAGUGAGACUCUGGUCAUUAACGCCGUUAAUCACUCCUUUACAAAUAAAUAUUCUGGCAGAUAGAUCCUGGGAAGAAAUUAUCGGAAACACUGAUUGUGCUGUAGAACAAGGCAUGCCCCCUCUGCUGUGCGGCAAAGUGUCAAGAGAUAUCAAACAGGAGAUAGAGAAACUAAGUGGUAACCCUCGUGUGAAAAAACUAAGAUGGUUUUCAGAAUGUUUAUCACCUCCGGGUGGCAGUGACAAUUUAUGGGACUUAGUUGCUGUGAUAAAAGGGCAAGAUGAUAGCUUACUUCCUCAGAACUACUGUAAAGGAAUAAUGCAUUUGAAACAUCUGAUUACAUUCCGAACAUCUGAAGCCCAAGAACUAACCACAGUCAAGAUGUCUAAAUUUGGUGGUGGUAUUGGUGUCCCUACUAAAGAGGAAAGACUGAAGGAAGCUGCUGAAAUACACUUGCGAUUAGGACAGAUUCGGAGAUACUGUGAGCUGAUGGUCGAACUUGGAGAGUGGGACAAAGCCUUGUCAAUUGCGCCAGGGGUUUCUGUGAAAUACUGGAAGAAGUUGAUGCAGAGGAGAGCUGAUCAGUUAAUCCAGGAAGAUAAGGAUGAUGUCAUUCCAUACUGCGUAGCCAUUGGCGAUGUGAAAAAAUUAGUCCAUUUUUUUAUGUCAAGAGGUCAGCUUAAAGAAGCUCUGCUUGUUGCACAGGCUGCUUGUGAGGGAAAUAUGCAAACCUUCCAUGUUUCGACACCUAGAGGAUCUUCUUGUUCUGAUGAUAUCUACAAGGAAGACUUUAACGAACUCCUGCAGGAAGCCUGCAGAGAGCUGGCGGAAUGGUAUUUUCAGGACGGCCGGGCAGUCCUAGCCGCGUGUUGCCACCUCGCUGUGGAUAAUAUCGAGCUGGCUAUGGCGUACCUGAUUCGCGGAAACGAGCUGGAGUUGGCAGUCUGUGUGGGCACGGUGCUUGGAGAGCUGGCAGGACCCGCAACCCACUAUGCGCUCGAGCUGCUGGCGAGAAAGUGCAUGAUGAUUCCAACGUGCUUUCCAUCCACUGGAUACAGGAAUUUGGCAGUUGAUCUUCUCCUAAUGACUCCUGAUAGUGAACUACAGUUAGUAAAACUCUGUGCUUUCUACCCGGGGUGUAUCGAAGAGAUAGACGAUCUUCAUGAGAAGUGCAAGCUACCCACAGUAGAAGAAUGUAUGCAAUUAGCUGAGACAGCCCAUGCCGAUGGCAAUAUAUUUGAAACUAUAAAGUAUUACUUGUUAAGUCAAGAACCUGAAAAAGCCCUUCCUGUUGGUAUUGACUUCAUCAAAGAAUAUAUCAGUAGUUCAAAUUGGACUUUGGAUACCAUUUACCCUGUUCUUGACCUACUGAGUUAUGUUCGUACUGAAAAAUUAGUCCUGCAUACAUGUACUGAAGCUCGAAACGAAUUGCUGAUAUUGUGUGGGUACGUUGGUGCUUUGCUGGCUAUCAGAAGACAGUACCAAAGCAUCGUCCCGGCACUUUAUGAGUACACGAGUCAGCUAUUGAAACGUCAGAAGGUGUCAGUGCCUAUAAAGAUUGAACACCUUUCUGAGGAAUUGGAUGCGUGGAGAGCUUGUACACAGUCCAUCAACCGAUCAUCAGAAGAAUCUCCAUAUACACCCCCUUCUGAUUCACAAAGAGCGGUUUAUGCAACUUUACUGAAGAGACUAAAAGAAGAACCACUCAGGGGAAUUAUUGGACCAGAUUAUGUGACCGGAUCAAACCUUCCCAGCCAUUCUGAUAUUCACAUCUCUUGUCUCACAGGAUUAAAAAUCCAGCAAUUAAAAAUUACGGGGAUCAAUCAUGAGGGAUGGCUAAUUCCCAAGGAAUGGUCCCUCAUGCCCCGUCAAAGUAAUGAUGGUGAACGAUGCCAGAGCCUCCCAGUGUGACCCAGGGGUGCCAUUAUCUCCAGAAAAUAGAGGAGUCUUCAUCAUCCCAGAGCCAGGACCGGUUGUAGGUGUCCCCAGGAAGUGAACAAAGCUGAAUCCCCAUGAAAUGCUAAUGGAGACCAGGGCCCUGUAUUUUUCCUUGAAGAUGGGAAAUCCACGAUCUCCUUGAAUGAUGCUCUGAUGUGGGCAAAGGUGAACCCAUUCUCCC